ACACAUGCAAGUCGAACGGUAACAGGAAACAGCUUGCUGUUUCGCUGACGAGUGGCGGACGGGUGAGUAAUGUCUGGGAAACUGCCUGAUGGAGGGGGAUAACUACUGGAAACGGUAGCUAAUACCGCAUAACGUCGCAAGACCAAAGAGGGGGACCUUCGGGCCUCUUGCCAUCGGAUGUGCCCAGAUGGGAUUAGCUAGUAGGUGGGGUAACGGCUCACCUAGGCGACGAUCCCUAGCUGGUCUGAGGGGAUGACCAGCCACACUGGAACUGAGACACGGUCCAGACUCCUACGGGAGGCAGCAGUGGGGAAUAUUGCACAAUGGGCGCAAGCCUGAUGCAGCCAUGCCGCGUGUAUGAAGAAGGCCUUCGGGUUGUAAAGUACUUUCAGCGGGGAGGAAGGGAGUAAAGUUAAUACCUUUGCUCAUUGACGUUACCCGCAGAAGAAGCACCGGCUAACUCCGUGCCAGCAGCCGCGGUAAUACGGAGGGUGCAAGCGUUAAUCGGAAUUACUGGGCGUAAAGCGCACGCAGGCGGUUUGUUAAGUCAGAUGUGAAAUCCCCGGGCUCAACCUGGGAACUGCAUCUGAUACUGGCAAGCUUGAGUCUCGUAGAGGGGGGUAGAAUUCCAGGUGUAGCGGUGAAAUGCGUAGAGAUCUGGAGGAAUACCGGUGGCGAAG
rnacentral:rRNA from 1 species